rnacentral:rRNA from 1 species
CCUACGGUGGUGCAGCAGUGGGGAAUAUUGCACAAUGGGGGAAACCCUGAUGCAGCGACGCCGCGUGAGUGAAGCAGUAUUUCGGUAUGUACAGCUCUAUCAGCAGGGAAGAAAAUGACGAUCCCUGACUAAGAAGCCCCGGCUAACUACGUUCCAGCAGCCGCUGUAAUACGUAGGGGGCAAGCGUUCUCCGGCUUUACUGGGUGUAAAGGGAGCGUAGACGGCCAGACAAGUCAGAAGUGACAGCCCAGGGCUCAACUCUUGGACUGCUUUUGAAACUGCCGGGCUGGAGUGCAGGAGAGGUAAGCGGAAUUACUAGUGUAGCGGUGAAAUGCGUAGAUAGUAGGAGGAACACCAGUGGCGAAGGCGGCUUACUGGACUGUAACUGACGUUGAGGCUCGAAAGCGUGGGGAGCAAACAGGAUUAGAUACCCCAGUAGUC